rnacentral:rRNA from 1 species
UACGUAGGAUGCAAGCGUUGUCCGGAUUUACUGGGCGUAAAGCGCGCGCAGGCGGCUUGAUGAGUAUGGCGUGAAAUCUCCCUGCUCAACGGGGAGGGUGCGUUGUAGACUGUCGAGCGUUGAGGUCGGUAGAGGGGGGUGGAAUUGCUGGUGUAGCGGUGAAAUGCGUAGAGAUCAGCAGGAACACCCGUGGCGAAGGCGGCCCCCUGGGCCGUACCUGACGCUGAGGCGCGAAGGCUAGGGGAGCGACCCGGG